rnacentral:rRNA from 1 species
ACCGUGCAAAGGUAGCAUAAUCAUUAGUUUUUUAAUUGAAAGCUGGUAUGAAUGGUUGGACGAAAAAAUAACUGUCUCAAUUUAAUUUAAUUAGAAUUUUAUUUUUAAGUUAAAAAGCUUAAAUAAUUUUAAAAGACGAGAAGACCCUAUAGAGUUUUAUAUUUUUAUACUUAUAAAUGUUUAGGAAUUGAUUUAUAUAUAAGUAUAUAAGUAUUUUGUUGGGGCGAUAGAAAAAUUUAAUGAACUUUUUUUUUAUUAUUACAUUAAUUUAUGAUUUUAUGAUCCACUGUAUAGUGAUUAUAAGAUUAAAUUACCUUAGGGAUAACAGCGUAAUUUUUUUUGAGAGUUCUAAUCGAAAAAAGAGUUU